rnacentral:lncRNA from 1 species
UCUUAUUCUUUUAAUAAAUAACCGAAGUCGACUAUAGUUACAAAUUUAGCCACUAACCACUUAUUUAGUACCGUAUCUUGUAUAGAAAAAAAAAAUCCUUCCACAAACUUAAUAUUUGAUCCAAUAACUAUAAUAAAAUUAAUUCCUAAUUCUCACAUUUAAUUACUAUAUAAAUAUAUUUCAGAUUAUGUUACAAAUGACAACCCAAACCAAGCUUAAUUCUAUACUGGACCUCCAAAACCACUUCCGAUCACACUCCUAAGUCACAAUUCACCAUCCGAAUCUAGUCGGAUCAUCGAAAAUCCAUUCCGAGCCCUCUAACUCAUAAGUCAAUGCUCGGUUGAUUUUUCCAAACUAACCUUCUCAUAAAGGGACUAGUUGUCUCAUUUCUAUCCAAACUCCACCCGACUUACUUCAAACUCUCCAAAUACAUAUAUUGAAAUAUAUAAAAGUAAUAAACGGGGAAAACAGGACGAUAAUUCAUGGGACGACAUGUCAGGUUGUUACAUCCUCCCCAAACCUAAACAAACGCUCGUCUUUGACCGAGUCAAGAAACAUGCCUGGAAUAUCAAACAAGUGAGGAUAUUAGCUGUGCAUCUCCUGCUCGGUCUCCCAAGUGGCUUCUUCCACGGACCGACCUCUCCACUGCACCUUCACCGACGCUAUGUCCUUAGAUCUCAGCUUUCAAAUCUGGCGACCCAAAAUAGCCACUGGCUCCACAUCAUAGGUCAAGUCUUCAUCCAACUAGAUCGUGCUGAAGUCUAACACAUGAGACGGAUCCCAACAUACUUCCGGAGCAUAGAAACGUGGAACACCGGGUGAACUCUUGACAAGCUAGGCAGCAAAGCGAGCAUAUAUGCCACCUCCCCAAUCCUCCUAAGUAUCUCAAAAGGUCUAAUGAACCUUGGACUCAACUUCCCUUUCUUCCCAAACCUCAUA